rnacentral:piRNA from 1 species
UAGCCAAAUCGAUGGUGACUUUGAAGACU